rnacentral:rRNA from 1 species
ACAGAGGGUGCGAGCGUUGUCCGGAAUCACUGGGCGUGAAGGGCGCGUAGGUGGCUUGGUAAGUAGGGGGUGAAAUCUCGUGGCUCAACUGCGAGACUGCCUCCUAGACUGUCAGGCUCGAGCAGAGUAGAGGCAGGUGGAAUUCCCGGUGUAGCGGUGGAAUGCGUAGAGAUCGGGAAGAACAUCGGUGGCGAAGGCGGCCUGCUGGGCUCUUGCUGACACUGAGGCGCGACAGCGUGGGGAGCAAACAGGA